rnacentral:rRNA from 1 species
AUUGAACGCUGGCGGCAUGCUUUACACAUGUAAGUCGAACGAGUGGCGAACGGGUGAGUAAUAUAUCGGAACGUACCGAGUAAUGGGGGAUAACUAAUCGAAAGAUUAGCUAAUACCGCCUAUUAUUCGAGCGGCCGAUAUUUGAUUAGCUAGUUGGUGGGGUAAAGGCCUACCAAGGCGACGAUCAGUAGCGGGGCGGAGAGGAUGAUCCGCACACCUGGGAUGGAGACACGGCCCAGACUCCUACGGGAGGCAGCACUGGGGAAUUUUGGACAAUGGGAGGAAGCCUGACCCAGCCAUGCCGCGUGUCUGAAGAAGGCUUUCGGGUUGUAAAGGACUUUUGUCAUGGAAGCGGUAUCUGAAGAAUAAGCACCGGCUAACUACGUGCCAGCAGCCGCGGUAAUUC